AUUGAACGCUGGCGGCAGGCCUAACACAUGCAAGUCGAACGAGUGGCGGACGGGCGAGCAAUGUCUGGGAAACUGCCUGAUGGAGGGGGAUAACUACUGGAAACGGUAGCUAAUACCGCAUACCAUCAGAUGUGCCCAGAUGGGAUUAGCUAGGUGGUGGGGUAACGGCUCACCAAGGCGACGAUCCCUAGCUGGUCUGAGAGGAUGACCGGCCACACUGGAACUGAGACACGGUCCAGACUCCUACGGGAGGCAGCAGUGGGGAAUAUGGCACAAUGGGCGCAAGCCUGAUGGAGCCAUGCCGCGUGUAUGAAGAAGGCUUUCGGGUUGUAAAGUACUGUCAGCAGGGAGGCGUUACCCGCAGAAGAAGCCCCGGCUAACUCCGUGCCAGCAGCCGCGGUAAUAC
rnacentral:rRNA from 1 species